AUUGAACGCUGGCGGAAUGCUUUACACAUGCAAGUCGAACGGCAGCACGGGGGCAGCCCUGGUGGCGAGUGGCGAACGGGUGAGUAAUACAUCGGAACGUGCCCGGUCGUGGGGGAUAACGUAGCGAAAGUUACGCUAAUACCGCAUACGAUCUGAGGAUGAAAGCGGGGGACCUUCGGGCCUCGCGCGAUCGGAGCGGCCGAUGUCAGAUUAGGUAGUUGGUGGGGUAAAGGCCUACCAAGCCGACGAUCUGUAGCUGGUCUGAGAGGACGACCAGCCACACUGGGACUGAGACACGGCCCAGACUCCUACGGGAGGCAGCAGUGGGGAAUUUUGAACAAUGGGCGCAAGCCUGAUCCAGCCAUUCCGCGUGCAGGACGAAGGCCUUCGGGUUGUAAACUGCUUUUGUACGGAACGAAAAGGCUCUGGCUAAUACCUGGGGCUCAUGACGGUACCGUAAGAAUAAGCACCGGCUAACUACGUG
rnacentral:rRNA from 1 species